CAGCCGCCGCGGUAAUACGUAGGGUGCGAGCGUUAAUCGGAAUUACUGGGCGUAAAGCGUGCGCAGGCGGUUUUGUAAGACAGAGGUGAAAUCCCCGGGCUCAACCUGGGAACUGCCUUUGUGACUGCAAGGCUAGAGUACGGCAGAGGGGGAUGGAAUUCCGCGUGUAGCAGUGAAAUGCGUAGAUAUGCGGAGGAACACCGAUGGCGAAGGCAAUCCCCUGGGCCUGUACUGACGCUCAUGCACGAAAGCGUGGGGAGCAAACAGGAUUAGAUACCCGCGUAGUCCCUGUCUCUUAUAC
rnacentral:rRNA from 1 species